rnacentral:snoRNA from 1 species
AAGACUACUUUCAGGGAUUAUUUCUAUAGUUCAUUACUAGAGAAGUUUCUCUGAUCGUGUGGAGUACUGGAAAUCCCAAGGAGAAUAACAUUCCCUUCACCUGAGGGUGAAGUCAGCUCUUGGUGCUGUUCAUUGCAGCUGCCAUUUGCCAUUGAUGAUUGUUGUUCUCCUUUGGAGGAGUAAGAAGGUGAGGAUGUCAUCUGAGUGAA